rnacentral:rRNA from 1 species
CCGUUCGGUGAACCAGCGGAGGGAUCAUUA